rnacentral:tRNA from 1 species
GUGGCUAUGGUGUAACGGUUAACACUGGAGCUUGUGGAGCUCUCGAUCAGGGUUCGAUUCCCUGUAGCCACCCCA